CCUCAUUUGAAAAAGAAGAGCCGAAAUUGAGAGAGGGAGAGAAUCGAGUUCAAGUGGAAAGAGAGGAAAGAGCAUCGAAAGCCGAAAAGAGAGGGAAGAGGAUAACGAUUGAGAAAUGACUGUAUUGUAGAGGUUGCAGGUCAAUGGAGAAGCGAAGGAGAGUGUGAGAGAGGGGAGAGUGUGAGAGAGGGGAGAGCGAGAGAGAGAAGGGAGAGUGGUGAGAGAAGGAGGAAUGCCAGUGCAGAUGAUUCCUUUUUUUGGAUUUUUUUGCUGUAGGGUUAACAGGGAUGAGCUUAUGACGUCGCACUAGCUGUGCAAUCUCGGCCUUGUCGCUCGCCUACUCAGAAGUCGAGGAGUUUUUCCUUCGGUGUUGGAACCCGAUACUCCCGGGUUGAAACCAAGGAUUGCAAGGGAGCAUACCACUCACCCUUACGCGGUGAGCCGAGCAUUCCUUGAAAUGAGGAGGUUCAAGCAGAUUCAUGAAGGUUAUUGCUCAAGGAGUUUGUAAAUAUCCCGUAUUUUGAACCUAAGUUUGGGAUUUUGAAUUCUAUGCAUAUAGAUUAUUUAUUUUAUGGGUGUUUGAGCAUAGAAUACGUACUUGAUUGAUACACUGAGAAGAACAUAAACUUGGACACCCUCCAAGCAAUGUGAACCUGCUGGGAUAGAGUUCAAAACAUUUGAUCUACGAUGGUUGCA